rnacentral:rRNA from 1 species
GAUGAACGCUAGCGGCAGGCCUAAUACAUGCAAGUCGAACGGUAACAGGGUAGCAAUACUGCUGACGAGUGGCGCACGGGUGAGUAACGCGUAUGCAACCUACCUUUAACUGGAGGAUAACCCCUCGAAAGAGGGACUAAUAUUCCAUAGUAAUCAGAGAAGGCAUCUUUUUUGGUUUAAAGCUCCGGCGGUUAAAGAUGGGCAUGCGUGACAUUAGUUAGUUGGUGAGGUAAUAGCUCACCAAGACGAUGAUGUCUAGGGGUUCUGAGAGGAUGAUCCCCCACACUGGUACUGAGACACGGACCAGACUCCUACGGGAGGCAGCAGUAAGGAAUAUUGGGCAAUGGAGGCAACUCUGACCCAGCCAUGCCGCGUGAAGGAUGACGGCCCUAUGGGUUGUAAACUUCUUUUAUACGGGAAUAAACCCGGGUACGUGUACCCGGCUGAAUGUACCGUAAGAAUAAGGAUCGGCUAACUCCGUG